UCACUUACCUGGACGGGGUCGAUGGGCGAUCAAGAUAGUCCAUGGCCUUGGUUGACGGCCCCCAUUGCACACCGGGCGAUGCGUCAGCCUAAGGUCUGCUCAUUGUAGCGGAGCCUACGUCAUAAUUUGUGGUAGCGGGGGCCUGCGUUCGCGCGGCCCCCAC